GAAAUGCUGUACUUCGAGAGUGUAGUGGCUAUUAGAUUUGCCUCAAAGAUUGGUUCAGCUUAGCUAGCAUGACAGGGAGGGAAGAAAGGCUACUCCUAGCACCCCAGCUGCCUAAAGUUCUAGCAUGCUCUGAAUAUGUUCCCCAGCAUUCAUGCUUUGGAAACAAUCCACAGAUUCAUAACUUGAUGGUAUUUAGAGGCGGGGCCUUUGGGAGAUCACUGGGCUUAGAUGAGGUCAUAAUGGUGCUUCCUAUCCCAUCAUGACACUGGUGGCUUUGAAAGAAGAGGAGGAGAGAUGGAAACUAACAAGCUCACUCUGUCUUGCCUUAUGGCCUCUCACGCUGCUUCAGUGCUCUCCAUGGGCUUGAAGGCCCUCACUGGCUGCAGCCCCUGGAUCUCAGGCCUGUGGAACUGCAAACGAGAGCAUAUUUUGGAACCCAGAGGACUCCUGGUUGAAGUCAUUUGGUUUUUCUACACUCGAAUCACACCUAUUGACACUCAGAUGAGAAUGAAGUCCUCUGCCCAGAGUGUUUAUGUGGCUCCUGUGUCGUCCAAGUGAAGUCGGACUGCACUGAGCCAUCACAGAAGACAGUCCUGCGUGCACACUCAGGAGGGCUGCCGAGCAUCUGUGUGGGGCAGCAUUCCACCAUGGGGAUGCUGGCAUGCUUCUGUUAUGAGCACUCUGCUGUAGGGACCUGCUGUAUUUGUCACACUGCAGCAGGAAAGGGGCAGCACAGGGUGAGAUUAGAUUUCUGAGCCAGUGGUGUUAGCUCUAGAGACGGAGAUGGGACAAGACAUGUCUAACCGGUGUGCUUGCCUCUCACUUUCAUUCUGGAUACCAGUUGUAAGUCUCUCUCUCUCUCUCUCUCUCUCUCUCUCUCUCUCUCUCCCCUCCCUCCCCCUAUCCCUCUUUCCUUCCCUUCUUCCCUUCUAUCCUUUCUUUUUCUUGGGUCUUUCUGUAUAGCCCCAGCUACAGAAAACUCAGGAUCCUCCUACCUCAGGCCACAAGUGGUCGGAUUACUGACACACCACACUCAACCUUCCCAAGCUUCCCUUUUGAGGAGAAUAAAUAUUGAUCAAGGUCCAGGUGAAGAAACAUGGUCUGGAUGAAAGUGCUGCUGGAUGGCUAUCCUCACACAGAAGGCUAACCUUGUCCUGAUGGGAGGUUUAGGACUGUGUUCUAGGCUCCCCUGUCCUUUAUGCUCGACAUUAAACAGCAAGAAGAAAGGAAGGUGAAGGUUGAGGAGGCAAGCUCAUCAAAUGGUGUGUCUACAGAGGAAAUAGAUGUGUGAGGCUGGUGGGCAACUAUAAAAUUAGGUGCUUUUCUCCUCUUAUCAAAGAGUAAAACCAUGCCCUUGGUAGUACUUAGGCAACAAUGCACAAUGUCCUCUAAUGUCAUAUCUGCCAAUCAUACUGCUUGAGUGUCUUUUUGUGACACCACGGCCAUGGCGACUCUUAUAAAGGAAAGCAUUUAAUGGUGCUGGCUUACAGUUUAGAGGUUUGUUCCAUUGUCAUCAUAGAAAGAAUCGUGGCAGCGCACAGACAGACAUGGUGCUGGAGAGGAGCUGAGCUCUACAACUGAAUCUGCAGGCAGCAGGAGGAGAAGGUGAGCCACUGGGUCUGGUUUGAGCAUCUGAAACCUCAAAGUCUAUACCCAGUGACAUUUUUUCCUAUAAGGCCACACCUAGCCCACAAAGCCACACUUCCUAAUAGUGUCACUUUCUAUAAGCCUAUGGGAACCAUUUUCAUUCAAACCACCACAGUGGUGUUCCCUGGAACCCAGUUGGGAAAUAAUGCACCAACUAUCAGGAUACAAGCAGCACUAAGCAAUCAGCUGGGCAUUUCUGAAUAAAUGGCUCAGGCUCCUGAGAGGGACACAUGUUAAAGACAGUCCAUCUUGGCACCCUGCCUGACUUGAGUCAGGAACACAUAAAUUUCUUUCUAUUACAGUUAGGAAUGGCCAUGUUCAGGGCAUUAUGUAAUUUUAUAAAUACAACAAAUCUUGGAGGUGGGUGCUCUUAUUAGACUCAUUUAAUAAGUGGGGGCAGUUGAGGUUAUGCAAGGUUGCCUAGGCACACAGGUAGGACUCGGGCUGUUUGUUGUAAGCUCCUGGGAUCAUGACGUAACUGAGAGACAAGGUCAGGUACCAGACAAAGGUCAAAAGCAGAGGCGAACCAGCUAGAACAAUCUGCUUUGUGUGCAGAUACAGUCAUGGAAGGGAUGCAUGUGUUUGGACAGGGACAGAGAAGCGGUUUAUACCUGGAUUAGGAAGCUGCAUAUUGGGACGUGCAGGCUACUCAGUGUAUCUGUGGACUGCUGCAGUGUCCAAUGCCUGUCGUUAGGGAACGAGUCAUCAGGCCAGGAACAAAGAUGGAGUCUUGGAGCAGCACUUCCUCUUGUUUGGAGUGAAUUAGCAGCUGUGACUUCCAAGCUGAAAGGAAGUGUGGAGAGGACUGGCUUUAUGUAAAACCCGGUGGGGGCUCAGCAGGGUCUGCCCAAGGUAGGAGGACAGUUAGGAAGGAGAUAAAGGUCCUGCCAGUCCUAGGAGAACUAACAUGUUUUAGGGCUCUAAAGACAUCCAACAGUCAUUCUCCUGCUGAUACAUAUCUUUGGUUUUUGCCCUGAGCCCAUCCUUUCAAUCUAGCACAUAGGGACAAAAGAGGGUGUGGUCCUACCUUGUAAACUGUACCCGUAAAGAAAGACAGACUGCCUGGCUCAGAUACUUCUCAAGCAUUUGUCUUGUAAGGUAAGGUGGGCUGGUGGUUAGGAGUGUGUGGUCUAGGAGAGCAGUAGCUCAUAGUCAAAGCUGUCUAUGUGGGCUGUUCCCACGGCUCUCUGUCUACUACUCCAGCCUGAUGCCAGUCCCUAAGGUCAGAAUAGCUUAAUGCCUCACAUUAAGCCUUUGUUUUAGGCCUACUCAGAUUAAUACCAGACUUUGUACACGAGCCAAGAAAAUGUGCACGGGCUUUAACACCGUUGCUGCACCACUGUUUACUUUCCAGGAUGCCCGGGGAAUCUGGAACUGCCCCUCUUCGGAAUCUGCAAAGUGUUGGUGUCAUUAAACAUUUUCAGACUUUUGAUCAUCCAGCA